rnacentral:lncRNA from 1 species
UUAUUCAUAAUGAAAACGAAGAUAAUUAUAUAUAUUUGCAUUUGGGCAACCGCAUGGGCCAUUCCGGUUCCUCAGUUAGUGCCGCUGGAGAGAGACAUUGUUGAAAAAUCUGCCGACGUACCCUUUCUAGCACAUCCAGGAACCGCAGCACAGAAUGAGUUGCAUAUCAACAAGGCCACUAACGACAGCGACAGCGACGAUUCCCCAAAGGGCAGUGAGCUAGGAAGGCAGGUACACUCUAAUGGGGGUUACGAAAGAGACAGGAAUGGCUCCGAGUCGAUAGCCGUAGGAGGGAAGAGUUCUCCUACUCAGCCCAUUUUAGCAAACGCACAGGGGAACAGUGCUAAAGAACGCGAAGACGUAGAAACAUACGGUCACGAUGGGAUACACGCAGGAGAGAACAGCACAGCAAACGGCAUCAGGGGCCAAUUAGGCAUCGCUGAAAAUGCCGAGGAAGCAAAGGAGAGUAAGGUACACGAGCAGCCUCAUCAGGAUACAAAAACUGGCCUUGCCAGUGACACGAGCCAGAAUGGAGACGCCACCCUUGUCCAGGAAAAUGAGCCUCAGGUAGCCGGAAGCAAGAAUAGCACAAACCAUGAGGUUGGAACACACGGGAGUGGAGUUGCUGCACAGGAAACGACGCCGCAGAGAGAAGGGGAGGGGAGUGAGAACCAGGGGGCUGAGGUGACACCAAGCAUUGGGGAAGGUGCUGGUUUGGAUAAUACUGAAGGGAGUCCUAGCGGGAACGGGAUAGAGGAGGAUGAAGACACGGGUUCUGGUGAUGGUGUGGGUGCAGACGCAGGAGAUGGAAGGGAGAGUCACGAUGGCACGGAGGGCCACGAGGGCCAGUCUAGUGGGGGAAACAAUGACAACAGAGGUCAGGGUUCAGUUAGUACUGAAGACGAUGACUCUAAAGAACAAGAAGGCUCCCCAAAUGGACGUGGUGGGGACAACACCUCCAGCAGUGAGGAAACCGGUAUUGAAGAAGGCGAUGGUACCCAAACAACACAGGACAACCAGAAUCUCAGUCCCACAGAGGGUGGGAUUAUCAGCCAGGCAGAAGCAUGUCCUUCUGGGCAGAGCCAAAAUCAGGGAUUAGAAACCGAAGGUUCCAGCACGGGCAACAAAAGUAGUAUUACCAAAGAAUCUGGGAAGCUCAGUGGAAGUAAAGACAGCAACGGACACCAUGGAAUGGAGCUGGACAAAAGGAAUAGCCCAAAGCAAGGGGCUGCCGAGAAGUCAGACACCCAUAAUAACAUGGGACACAGCAGGAUAGGCAGCAGCAGCAAUAGUGACGGGCAUGACAGUUAUGAUUUUGACGAUGAGUCCAUGCAAGGAGACGAUCCCAACAGCAGUGACGAGUCUAACGGAAGUGACGGAAGUGAUGAUGCUAACUCCGAAAGCGCCAAUGAGAAUGGCAACCAUGGAGAUGCUUCUUACACCUCUGAUGAAUCAAGCGAUAAUGGCGGCGACAGUGACUCAUAUGCUGGAGAGGAUGACAGCAGUGAUGACACAUCUGAUACCGAUGACAGUGACAGUAACGGUGAUGAUGACAGUGAGAGUGAGGACAAGGACGAAUCAGACAACAGUAACCACGACAAUGACAGUGACAGUGAGAGCAAAUCAGACAGCAGCGACAGUGACAGUGACAGCAGUGACAGCAGUGACAGCAGUGACAGCAGUGACAGCAGUGACAGUAGCGACAGCAGCGAAAGCAGUGACAGUAGCGACAGUAGCGACAGCAGCGACAGCAGUGACAGCAGUGACAGCAGUGACAGCAGUGACAGUAGCGACAGCAGCGACAGUGACAGCAAUGACAGCAGUGACAGUAGUGACAGCAGUGACAGCAGUGACAGUAGUGACAGCAGUGAAAGCAGUGACAGUAGCGACAGCAGUGACAGCAGUGACAGCAGCGAAAGUAGCGAAAGCAGUGAAAGCAGUGACAGUAGUGACAGCAGUGACAGUAGCGACAGCAGUGACAGUAGUGAGAGCAGCGAAAGCAGUGACAGCAGUGACAGUAGCGACAGCAGCGACAGUGACAGCAGUGACAGCAGUGACAGUAGUGACAGCAGUGACAGCAGUGAUAGCAGCGACAGUAGUGAUAGCAGUGACAGCAGUGACAGCAGUGACAGCAGCGACAGUGACAGCAGCGACAGUGACAGCAGUGACAGUAGUGACAGCAGUGACAGUAGUGACAGCAGUGACAGCAGCGACAGUAGUGACAGUAGUGACAGCAGCAACAGUGACAGUAGCGACAGCAGUGACAGUAGCGACAGCAGUGACAGUAGUGACAGCAGUGACAGCAGUGACAGCAGUGACAGUAGCGACAGCAGUGACAGUAGUGACAGCAGUGACAGCAGCGACAGCAGUGAUAGCAGUGACAGCAGUGACAGCAGUGACAGCAGUGACAGUAGUGACAGCAGUGACAGCAGUGACAGCAGUGAUAGCAGUGACAGCAGUGACAGUAGCGACAGCAGCGAUAGCAACAGCAGUGACAGCAGUGACAGCAGUGACAGUAGUGACAGCAGCGACAGCAGUGACAGUAGUGACAGUAGUGACAGCAGUGACAGUAGUGACAGCAGUGACAGCAGCAACAGCAGUGACAGCAGUGACAGCAGCGAUGGUGACAGCAGUGACGGUGACAGCAGCGAUAGUGACAGCAGUGAUAGUGACAGUAGUAACAGCAGUGAUAGUGACAGCAGUGACAGUAGUGACAGCAGCAGCAGUGACAGCAGCGAUAGUGAUAGUGACAGCAAGGACAGCACUUCUGACAGCAGUGAUGACGACAGCAAGUCUGGUAAUGGCAACAGUGACAGCGACAGUGACAGCGAAGGCAGUGACAGUAACCACUCAACCAGUGAUGAUUAGAGCAGAGAACCCCUUGAGAUCCUCUGUGUGACCUCUGGUGAGUGAUAGGAAGGCAGUGAAGGUUCCUAACUCAAUGACAAGAGGAGAGACGAAAAGAUUGUGUGAAACCCACGGAGCUCCCAGGGAAUGGAGCCGAGCUCCAGCUCCCUCAGAGAGAAUCUGGGUGCUCCACCUUUGGUACACAUGUGUUAGAAUAUAUUCAUGUUCAGAAGAUACUUUUAAAAAGGAUAAAUCUAAACAUAAUACUUAAACAGGAACUGAAGUAAUCACUUACCCUGACACAUAGCUUCGAUUUGAAUGGCGGGUGCUUUAGAGAGCAGAGCAGGCAACAUCACAACCUUCUGCAGCCUCCUCCCUCAGUGCUCCAGGCCCCAGAGAGCUAGUCUUCAUGUUGUGCAGUGAGCAACGCUGUUCUGUGACACUCUACUCAUCUACUCUGUCAUUUACUAAUUCUGGGGAAAAAUACAUUUAAGACAUGAGCAAAACACUGCAGCAACUACUGGUGCUGGGAUAAUCUUUGUGAUGAUAAAAUAGCUAUAAUUUAUGAAAAUUCUGAAGAAUGAAUGAGAAAAGAGCUCGAGGAUGGCCCGGACGAGAUCUGACACAUGCUGUUAAGUUUCUGUAUAGGAUGGAAAUGUACUAAGCCCCCAACCCCUGCAUUUUGAAGUGUCUCGCUUCCAGCAACGGCUCUCGAAUCUUAAAUAAAUGAGCAACACGGAUGGAUGAUUUCGGGAGUUUGGGAUCAUAUUCUGAGCUCUCCACAUACCACUGUGUUAUUAGUUUUCUUCAAAUCAGUUUCACAGGUCAAAUAGGCUCACAGUUUAAUCAAGAAUUGUAAGGCUGUGCAGGAGAAGAGAGGGACCCUCUUUGGGCUCUAGGGCUCUUCUGAAAGCAAGAGAGGCGGUGAGAACAAACCACACCAAGACAGGAGGUGUGAACUGAGAUUGUCGCAAGAAAACCUUAACCCCCAAGCCUUAAGAAUAUUUUUGAAGAUUUAAGGUUUUCCCUUUGUCAUUUCCCUAUUUUCUCACGUCGGCGGUUAUGCCAGAUUUGGGUUAAAACGAAACCAUCAACGACAUUAUAACGAUAGUUGUCUCUCUUCUCACUUCAGGCUUAUUUUACUCAGAGUUUCAGAAGAGAUUCCUUUCCCCUGGGUGCUCACCUCCCAUUCUGAGGGUUUCUGAGUUAAGGAAUAUUGCUGAGGCUUUCACACGCUGCUACCUGUAAACGCAUCUGUAACCCCCGACACUGUAAAGCGCCAGGUUUCUGCACUGCCACAGGUGCGACCUGACCCCAGACCACUCACCAGAAAGCUCUGCCUUCUCUUAGGUGGCAAACUCUCCUUCGUUUGCUUCAACUUGUGAAGCACCUGCCUGUAGCAACCCCCCCCCCCAUCACACCCACUCAUCAAAGUUGUGAUCACCAAACCCUGGGUGGAAAACUCAUUGUAAACUGUAUGUGAAAUCUAAAGGAAGAGAUAAUGAACUUCAGUAUUAUAAUAAACAUCUAUUUAUACAA